rnacentral:rRNA from 1 species
UACGGGGGGGGCAAGCGUUGUUCGGAAUUACUGGGCGUAAAGGGCUCGUAGGUGGCCAACUAAGUCAGACGUGAAAUCCCUCGGCUUAACCGGGGAACUGCGUCUGAUACUGGAUGGCUGGAGUAUGGGAGAGGGAUGCGGAAUUCCAGGUGUAGCGGUGAAAUGCGUAGAUAUCUGGAGGAACACCGGUGGCGAAGGCGGCAUCCUGGACCGACAUUGACGCUGAGGCGCGAAAGCCAGGGGAGCAAACGGG